GGUGUCAUACAUGCAGUAAAGGUGUGCUGGACUUUUUCCCUGAGCUUCCACCUUGCGUGGUAAACAUGCAGGUGUGUGUUGGGGAUUGUUAAUUCGCAUUUUCCCUCUGAAAUAGCCCCAGCCCGACCUCCAUUAAGCCAACUCUUGUUAUGCUAGUUUGGAGCCCAAACUGAAUUGCUUGUGCUCUCGACGAUUUCCUGGUUUCCCCACUGUGCCUCCCUCGUGCAGCAGCAGUAGCGCUCGGCUCAGCUCCCUUCCUUUAUCACACAAAGCCCCACUUCGUCGUGCCUCCACCCUGCUUGGCUUUCCCCAUCGUACGUGGCUGCUGAGCACCUCGCCGAGGCUACAGCAGCGCUCAGCACAGCUCCGGCCCGCCGGCGGUUUUCUCUACUCGACCUCCCUCAUCGCUGCAUCUGGACAUACGCUGCUGCUCGCCGCGCUCCCUGGUGUGCGAGCUUGCCGGCACCCAGUCCUCCUCUCCACGUCAGAGUCCUUACCUCACCAUCAAGACAUCGUCGUCGCGCCGUCGUACGUUAUCUAGCUCCUUAGCACAGCACCGUCCUCCAACUCGACGUCUUUGCGUCCGUAGAACUUGCUGUCGUCGUUGGGUAACUGCACCUUGGUGAUUGGCAUGGUUGCGUGUGUGUUUGGAUUAAUCGUAGCAUAAUUUUAUGUCCCGGGAAAGAUUGUCCGCGACUGUUUAUAACUGGCUUGUGGUUCACACCAUCAGCUUGGGCUUUGUGAUGUGCGUGUGAAUCGUAGUGGUGCGAUCAGUGGAUGAAAGGAAUUAGUUGGUGAAGAAACAAGUUUACAUAAAAGACCAUUGAUUUUGGUAUA